UACGUAGGGUCCGAGCGUUGUCCGGAAUUACUGGGCGUAAAGAGCUCGUAGGUGGUUUGUCGCGUUGUUCGUGAAAACUCACAGCUCAACUGUGAGCUUGCGGGCGAUACGGGCAGACUAGAGUACUGCAGGGGAGACUGGAAUUCCUGGUGUAGCGGUGGAAUGCGCAGAUAUCAGGAGGAACACCGGUGGCGAAGGCGGGUCUCUGGGCAGUAACUGACGCUGAGGAGCGAAAGCGUGGGGAGUGAACAGG
rnacentral:rRNA from 1 species